rnacentral:lncRNA from 1 species
UCACCAUUGCUAGAUGGUUACAUCAAUUGGUAUAAAAAAUUAUUCUUAUACUAUCAACCUAGGUUCGAACCUAUGAGAUCACAUGCAUUAGAAGAUUUGGUCAGAUCUGAUAGCUGAAGAGUCUAAUUGGAUUAUGACUCUGGUGACGAGUCCUAUUGGGACCAGGACUCUGGAGGAGAGUCACACUGAGACUGAGACUCUACUUUUAAUAAAAAAUUAAUUAGUAAUUGAUCCAAUUUGAUUGAGUAAAGAGCUUUGGAUUAAGUCUAAUUAAAUUAGAUUCAGUUCGACUCAGAUUGGAUUUGAUAU